rnacentral:rRNA from 1 species
GCCAUGCAUGUCUAAGUAUAAACUCGUUUGUACUGUGUGAAACUGCGAAUGGCUCAUUAAAUCAGUUAUAGUUUAUUUGAUAUAACCUUACUACUUGGAUAUCCGUGGUAAUUCUAGAGCUAAUACAUGCAAUAAAAUCCUGACUUCUGGAAGGGAUGUAUUUAUUAGAUAAAAAACCAACCCGGCAACGGUUCUUUGGUGAUUCAUAGUAACUUUUCGAAUCGCAUGACUUUACGUCGGCGAUGGUUCAUUCAAAUUUCUGCCCUAUCAAGUUUCGAUGGUAGGAUAGAGGCCUACCAUGCUUUUUACGGGUAACGGCGAAUUAGGGUUCGAUUCCGGAGAGGGAGCCUGAGAAACGGCUACCACAUCUAAGGAAGGCAGCAGGCGCGCAAAUUACCCAAUCCUGAUUCAGGGAGGUAGUGACAAUAAAUAACAAUCCAGGGCUUUUGUCUUGGAAUUGGAAUGAGAACAAUUUAAAUCUCUUAACGAGGAACAAUUGGAGGGCAAGUCUGGUGCCAGCAGCCGCGGUAAUUCCAGCUCCAAUAGCGUAUAUUAAAGUUGUUGCAGUUAAAUAGCUCGUAGUUGAAUCUUGGGGCUGGUUUGGCGGUCUCGUCUUUGACGUGUACUGUCGGCCGGUUCUUUUACUUGUGGGGAACGUAUGUGCUCUUUACGGGGUGUGUACGGGAACCAUGGCUGUUACUUUGAAAAAAUUAGAGUGUUUAAAGCGGGCGUAAGCUUGUAUACAUUAGCAUGGAAUAAUAGAAUAGGACUUUGGUUUUAUUUUGUUGGUUUCUAGGGCCGAAGUAAUGAUUAAUAGGGAUAGUUGGGGGCAUUAGUAUUUAAUAGUCAGAGGUGAAAUUCUUGGAUUUAUGAAAGACUAACUUCUGCGAAAGCAUUUGCCAAGGAUGUUUUCAUUAAUCAAGAACGAAAGUCAGGGGAUCGAAGAUGAUCAGAUACCGUCGUAGUCCUGACCGUAAACUAUGCCGACUCGGGAUCGGGCGUUGUAUUUCAUGACACGCUCGGCACCGUAUGAGAAAUCAAAUCUNUGGUACCGGGGGAGUAUGGUCGCAAGGCUG